rnacentral:misc_RNA from 1 species
GAUGAAGAACGUAGCGAAAUGCGAUAAGUAAUGCGAAUUGCAGAAUUCAGUGAAUCAUCGAAUCUUUGAACGCACAUUGCGCCCCUUGGUAUUCCAUGGGGCAUGCCUGUUCGAGCGUCAUUUGUACCCUCAAGCUCUGCUUGGUGUUGGGUGUUUGUCUCGCGGUUCUGCGCAGACUCGCCUUAAAACAAUUGGCAGCCGGCUUGUUAGCCUGGAGCGCAGCACAUAUUGCGCCUCUUGCUAGCGACUGCCCGGCACCCAUCAAGCCCAUUUAUUUGCUCUUGACCUCGGAUCAGGUAGGGAUACCCGCUGAACUUAAGCAUAUCAAUAAGCGGAGGA